rnacentral:lncRNA from 1 species
UUUUAAAACCAUAAUUAUUAUUUUUAGAUAAAUAUUGAUUGUGUUAAGUCAAACAUACAAAUUAAGGAUAUUUUGCAACAAAUACAAUAAGAUUAAAUGAUCCAUUUGGUAAGUGAUAUAUAUUAUCAAUAUUUCUAACAACAAUACAAUGUGAACAACUCUGAACCAACUCCAUCUCGUUUUGUAUUUUUUUGUUCUCUGUUUCUCUCUGCCAAUAAUGGAGGAUGACAUUGUAUCCAAAUCCUCAGUACUUAAAAGGUGAGCACAAAAUCCUCCGUAUCAAUACUCCCACUUUUUUUAUAUUUUUUAAAAGAAAAUUGUAUUUUAUUGUUACAGUUUUAGUUUUGAUGUGGGAGAAGUAUCCACUGAAUAAAUCAACUUUAAAAAUGGGUGUUGGUCGAGCUGUCAACUGUCUAACCAUUCGAGCCUUUUUAUCUUACUUUCCGUUUCUCCUCGUUUUCUUUUUUGCAGAUGUGUAAAAGACACAAGAUGCAUUUAUACUUCCCUCUUUGUCUUUUUCUUAUUAUUUUAAAACCAGAUGUGAAAUGCGUGGAUUAUAUUGUUAUAUAUAUUUUCUUUUAGUGUAAUAUAAAUAUACGAUAUCAAUUGCUUAUUUUGUUCUUAAAAAAAUACAAAAUUUAAAUUUGGAAAUCAAC